rnacentral:rRNA from 1 species
AUUGAACGCUGGCGGCAGGCCUAACACAUGCAAGUCGAACGAGUGGGGACGGGUGAGUAACACGUGGGUAACCUCCCAUCAGAGGGGAUAACACUUGGAAACAGGUGCUAAACCGAUACUGUUGGCAGGACCCGCGGUGCAUUAGCUAGUUGUUGGGGUAACGGCUCACCAAGGCCACGAGGCAUAGCCGACCUGAGAGGGGGAUCGGCAACCCGGGGACUGCGACACGGCCCAGACUCCUACGGGAGGCAGCAGUAGGGAAUCUGCGGCAAUGUACGAAAGUCUGACCGAGCAACGCCGCGUGAGUGAAGAAGGUUUUCGGAUCGUAAAACUCUGUUGUUAGAGAAGCGGUAUCUAACCAGAAAGCCACGGCUAACUACGUGCCAGCAGCCGCGGUAAUAC